GGACUGGUAGUUCAGUUGGUUAGAACGCCCGCCUGUCACGCGGGAGGUCGUGGGUUCGAGUCCCAUUCAGUCCGCCA
rnacentral:tRNA from 1 species